rnacentral:rRNA from 3 species
UGGGGGAUAUUGCACAAUGGGCGAAAGCCUGAUGCAGCGACGCCGCGUGGGGGAUGAAGGCUUUCGGGUUGUAAACCUCUUUCGCUAUCGAACAAGGCCCGCUUAGGGUGGGUUGAGGGUAGGUGGAGAAGAAGCGCCGGCUAACUACGUGCCAGCAGCCGCGGUAAUACGUAGGGCGCGAGCGUUGUCCGGAAUUAUUGGGCGUAAAGGGCUUGUAGGCGACUUGUUGCGCCUGCUGUGAAAACGCGGGGCUUAACUUCGCGCGUGCAGUGGGUACGGGCAGGCUUGAGUGUGGUAGGGGUGACUGGAAUUCCAGGUGUAGCGGUGGAAUGCGCAGAUAUCUGGAGGAACACCGAUGGCGAAGGCAGGUCACUGGGCCAUUACUGACGCUGAGGAGCGAAAGCAUGGGUAGCGAACAGG